rnacentral:tRNA from 1 species
AUUUAAAUAGUUUAUAAAAAAUGCUGGUUUGUGGGCCCAGGGAUAUAACUUAAAGUUAUUUUAGAUC